rnacentral:rRNA from 1 species
UUACUGGGCGUAAAGCGUGCGUAGGUGGUUUAUUAAGUCAGAUGUGAAAGCCCUGGGCUCAACCUAGGAACUGCAUUUGAAACUGGAAAACUAGAGUAUAGGAGAGGAAAGUGGAAUUUCUGGUGUAGCGGUGAAAUGCGUAGAUAUCAGAAGGAACAUCAAUGGCGAAGGCAGCUUUCUGGACUAAUACUGACACUGAGGUACGAAAGCGUGGGUAGCAAACAGGAUUAGAUACCCUGGUAGUCCAUGCCGUAAACGAUGAUAACUAGCCGUUGGGGGGGGUACCCUUUAGUGGCGAAGCUAACGCGUUAAGUUAUCCGCCUGGGGAGUACGGCCGCAAGGUUAAAACUCAAAGGAAUUGACGGGGACCCGCACAAGCGGUGGAGCAUGUGGUUUAAUUCGAUGCAACGCGAAGAACCUUACCUGGUCUUGACAUAUCGCAAACUUUCUAGAGAUAGAUUGGUGCCUUCGGGAAUGCGAAUACAGGUGCUGCAUGGCUGUCGUCAGCUCG